AUUGAACGCUGGCGGCAGGCUUAACACAUGCAAGUCGAGCGGGGGAAGGUAGCUUGCUACUGGACCUAGCGGCGGACGGGUGAGUAAUGCUUAGGAAUCUGCCUAUUAGUGGGGGACAACAUCUCGAAAGGGAUGCUAAUACCGCAUACGUCCUACGGGAGAAAGCAGGGGAUCUUCGGACCUUGCGCUAAUAGAUGAGCCUAAGUCGGAUUAGCUAGUUGGUGGGGUAAAGGCCUACCAAGGCGACGAUAUGUAGCGGGUCUGAGAGGAUGAACCGCCACACUGGGACUGAGACACGGCCCAGACGCCUACGGGAGGCAGCAGUAGGGAAUAGUGGACAAUGGGUGGGACCCUGAUCCAGCCAUGCCGCGUGUGUGAAGAAGGCCUUAUGGUUGUAAAGCACUUUAAGCGAGGAGGAGGCUACUUUAGUUAAUACCUAGAGAUAGUGGACGUUACUCGCAGAAUAAGCACCGGCUAACUCUGCGCCAGCCGCCGCAGUAAGAC
rnacentral:rRNA from 1 species